CAAAACUUGGUGAAAUCGCCCUUCGCAGGCCAUACCCUUGUGCCGGCCACGAUGCAGACACUUCGGGGACACCCAGGAACUCCUGAGGUCUGGGAUUUGGUGACCACUCAGAUUGUCUGCCUGCACUGAGUCAGGCACCGAGGGCUCUCUCUCCCCCAGCCAGGUGGUGUCUGCAUCCUUCUGAUGCAUGGGUCUCUUUUGGGACUGACGCAGGAAGACAGCACCCUCUUGCCCCUCCUGGAGUGUGGUGGAAGCAGGGAAGAAGAUAGCACCCUCUUGCCCCUCCUGGAGCGUGGGGGAGCAGGGAAGAAGACAGCACCCUCUUGCCCCUCCUGGCUUGUGGGGGGAGCAGGAAGAGGCCACGGCAGGAGCAAUCACAGAGCUCCUUUGUCACGGACUCUACCAGCCAUCGCUUUCGUCCCAAAGUGAGAUCGACAAGGAGCUAUGUUAGUAUUCCAGAGCAAAGGAAAUCCUGGAGAAGUGCUCUCAAGAGGAGCUUAUGAAAAGACACCUGCGAGGAUUCUGACAUGUCCUGCUGAGCGAGGUGGUCUCCUCACUGAGUUACAGAGCUUCGGUGAGCCACUGUCACUGGUGGAUGAGCUAAAGAAGACAGCUGGGAAGUAUUGUUUAGCUACCUCUGGGGUUAGUGGGGGCUAAGGCCACCUAUGCAUCACUCCAGGUGCUUCAAGGAUAUCCUGUCACUGUGUCCAACCUCACUGUGUUUUUAGAGGUUCAAGAGGGAAUGGGCUCUAGCAUCCAACUGAACAUGAAAGCCCAGGCAAGGAUUUCUAUCAGGAUAUACUUUUGCUCCAAGAAGAGUAGCAAGUCCUGAACCCAGGUCACAGGUGUCUUCAGGUGUCAGUUUCUACCUCUCAAGUUAUUAAACAUUUUCCACCACUUGUACAUUUCUUUGCAUAAUCCCUAUAAUAUAGGGGCAGGUAUAAUUUUGUAUAUUCUCUAUAAAAUGUGUGAAGAUACAAUUAGCCUUACUUCCUAUAUGGGGAGACAGAGACUCAGAGCAGAAAAGUUACUCUUUCAAGUCACACAUUUCAUCGCUGGUGGAGUGUGGGGCACGAGUUCCUGUCUCCUGAUUCCCAGGUACACACUGUUUUUGUUAGCCUCAAAGUAUUAAAGA